GGCGCAGCGUACACAUGAGAUGUCAUACGGCCAGGGCCGAUGCCGUAUUCGCUCCGGCGAACUGAACCUUGCUGAGAAGCGGGAGGACGUUGGCUGUAGCGAGACCUUGACCGCAGGAUAGUGGCGAGGGUGAAAGGAGGCGAAACCUGAGCAGCGACAACAAAUCAUUGAGUAAGCGGCGGCGAUUGCGGCGACCUUGAGAACGGGAAGAGUUCCUGGCCACUGUCGAAGGCAACUCUAAGUGAGGAGGCACCGACGCGUGUCAGACGCGGCGCAUCCAGCAUGGACGCCGUAGACCCGGGGCAGGCCCGGACCACAAUUUGGUGGGCCGCCUGACCUUCCCUGCACUGACACAGCCGUAGCCCCUCACCACAUCGUGGUACCGCAGGUGCCACAGCCACUUGGCUGCGCUGGUGACAUGAGUGGGGUGAGCGCGUGACUUAUAUAAGGACAGAGGUGGCACAUACGGACUCAUUCGUCGCCGGAACAAGAUUUCUUUCCGCUUCACAGGAUCCCAUCAAAAGCAAGCAUGCUGAGGAACGUUCUCAUAGCCGCCCUGCUGUUGGCAGCUGUCUUCUGCAUUGCCUCAGCUCAGUUCGGAUAUGGCCGUGGUUUCGGAUAUGGCCGCGGCUUCGGCUACGGACGUGGUUUCGGCUAUGGUCGUGGUUUCUAUGGAGGGUACGGCCGCGGCUACUACGGAGGUUUCGGACGCGGCUUCGGCUACGGAAGAGGAUUCUACGGCUGAACUACAGAACCGCUUUCAAGAGUGAAAACCACAAAGCCCAUGUCCAUAGAAGCACUAUUUCAAGCCUACUAUUUUUCGAGUUUGUAAUAAAGUGAGUGAUAUUACCCUAGAA